GAUGAACGCUAGCGGCAGGCUUAACACAUGCAAGUCGAGGGGCAGCGCGGAUGUUAGCAAUAACAUUUGGCGGCGACCGGCGCAAGGGUGCGUAACGCGUGAGCAACUUGCCCGUUUCUGGGGAAUAACCGGUGGAAACGCCGACUAAUACCCCAUAGCAUUGGAUUGAGGCAUCUUAAUCCAAUUAAAGAAUUUCGGAAACGGAUAGGCUCGCGUGACAUUAGCUAGAUGGCGGGGUAACGGCCCACCAUGGCGACGAUGUCUAGGGGUUCUGAGAGGAAGGUCCCCCACACUGGAACUGAGACACGGUCCAGACUCCUACGGGAGGCAGCAGUGAGGAAUAUUGGUCAAUGGUCUGACGACUGAACCAGCCAUGCCGCGUGAA
rnacentral:rRNA from 1 species